GAUAAAGUGGCUGAAGAUUAUUAGGUAGUAAAUUGUAAAUUUAUUUAUGGUUAAAUAACCCUUUAUCA
rnacentral:tRNA from 1 species